GGGUUUCUUGUUGAAAUUGUUGAGUAUUAGUUGUCAAACUUUCAACAAUAUCUUCUAAAGUCAUACCUGAGUUUGAUGCAGAUGCUUAUUACUACUGAAUUUGUUUAGGCUAAUAGCUUUAACAAUUUUGUUGCUUAUAGCUAAAAUUCGGGUGGUUUCUCCAUUCUAUUAUACGUAUUUGAGAAAGGACCAUACAUCCUUUGUGGAGGACCUGAGAAUUCAUUGACAGCAUUCACAUGUUGAUCGUCUUCUUG
rnacentral:lncRNA from 1 species